rnacentral:rRNA from 1 species
AUUGAACGCUGGCGGCAUGCCUUACACAUGCAAGUCGAACGGUAACAGGUCUUCGGAUGCUGACGAGUGGCGGACGGGUGAGUAAUACAUCGGAACGUGCCCGAGAGUGGGGGAUAACGAGGCGAAAGCUUUGCUAAUACCGCAUACGAUCUCAGGAUGAAAGCAGGGGACCGCAAGGCCUUGCGCUCACGGAGCGGCCGAUGGCAGAUUAGGUAGAUGGUGGGAUAAAAGCUUACCAAGCCGACGAUCUGUAGCUGGUCUGAGAGGACGACCAGCCACACUGGGACUGAGACACGGCCCAGACUCCUACGGGAGGCAGCAGUGGGGAAUUUUGGACAAUGGGCGCAAGCCUGAUCCAGCCAUGCCGCGUGCAGGAUGAAGGCCUUCGGGUUGUAAACUGCUUUUGUACGGAACGAAAAGACUCUGGUUAAUACCUGGGGUCCAUGACGGUACCGUAAGAAUAAGCACCGGCUAACUACGUGCCAGCCGCCGCAGUAACAC